UACGAAGGGGGCUAGCGUUGUUCGGCAUUACUGGGCGUAAAGCGUGCGCAGGCGGCUUCUCAAGUCAGGGGUGAAAGCCCAGAGCUCAACUCUGGAAUUGCCUUUGAGACUGAGAGGCUUGAGUACGGGAGAGGUGAGUGGAAUUCCCAGUGUAGAGGUGAAAUUCGUAGAUAUUGGGAAGAACACCAGUGGCGAAGGCGGCUCACUGGACCGUAACUGACGCUCAUGCACGACAGCUAGGGGAGCAAACAGG
rnacentral:rRNA from 1 species